CCUACGGGAGGCAGCAGUGGUGAAUAUUGCACAAUGGAGGAAACCCUGAUGCAGCGACGCCGCGUGAGUGACGAAGUAUUUCGGUAGGUAAAGCUCUAUCAGCAGGGAAGAAAACAUCCGGUACCUUACUAAGAAUCACCAGCUAACUACGUGCCAGCAGCCGCGGUAAUACGUAGGGGGCAAGCGUUAUCCGGAUUUACUGGGGGUAAAGUGAGAGUAUACGGCGCGGCAAGUCUGAAGUGAAAGGCAGGGGCUUAACCCCUGAACUGCUUUGUACACUGCCAUGCUAGAGUGCUGGUGAGGUAAGUGGAAUUCCUAGUGUAGCGGUGAAAUGCGUAGAUAUUAGGAGGAACACCAGUGGCGAAGGCGGCUUACUGGACAGUAACUGACGUUGAGGCUCGAAAGCGUGGGGAGCAAACAGGAUUAGAUACCCGGGUAGUC
rnacentral:rRNA from 1 species